AAUGGGGGAAACCCUGAUGCAGCCAUGCCGCGUGUGUGAAGAAGGCCUUCGGGUUGUAAAGCACUUUCAGCGAGGAGGAAAGGUCAGUAGCUAAUAUCUGCUGGCUGUGACGUUACUCGCAGAAGAAGCACCGGCUAACUCCGUGCCAGCAGCCGCGGUAAUACGGAGGGUGCAAGCGUUAAUCGGAAUUACUGGGCGUAAAGCGCACGCAGGCGGUUGGAUAAGUUAGAUGUGAAAGCCCCGGGCUCAACCUGGGAAUUGCAUUUAAAACUGUCCAGCUAGAGUCUUGUAGAGGGGGGUAGAAUUCCAGGUGUAGCGGUGAAAUGCGUAGAGAUCUGGAGGAAUACCGGUGGCGAAGGCAGCCCCCUGGGCCGAUACUGACGCUCAUGCACGAAAGCGUGGGGAGCAAA
rnacentral:rRNA from 1 species